AACGAACGCUGGCGGCAUGCCUAACACAUGCAAGUCGAACGAAGGCUUCGGCCUUAGUGGCGCACGGGUGCGUAACGCGUGGGAAUCUGCCCCUCGGUUCGGAAUAACAGUUAGAAAUGACUGCUAAUACCGGAUGAUGACUUCGGUCCAAAGAUUUAUCGCCGAGGGAUGAGCCCGCGUAAGAUUAGGUAGUUGGUGGGGUAAAGGCCUACCAAGCCGACGAUCUUUAGCUGGUCUGAGAGGAUGAUCAGCCACACUGGGACUGAGACACGGCCCAGACUCCUACGGGAGGCAGCAGUGGGGAAUAUUGGACAAUGGGCGAAAGCCUGAUCCAGCAAUGCCGCGUGAGUGAUGAAGGCCUUAGGGUUGUAAAGCUCUUUCGCCGGAGAAGAUAAUGACGGUAUCCGGAGAAGAAGCCCCGGCUAACUUCGUGCCAGCAGCCGCCGCAG
rnacentral:rRNA from 1 species